rnacentral:rRNA from 1 species
UACGUAGGGGGCAAGCGUUGUCCGGAAUCAUUGGGCGUAAAGAGCGUGUAGGCGGCCCGGUAAGUCUGUUGUGAAAGUCAAAGGCUCAACCUUUGAAAGCCGGUGGAUACUGUGGGGCUAGAGUCCGGAAGAGGCGAGUGGAAUUCCUGGUGUAGCGGUGGAAUGCGCAGAUAUCAGGAGGAACACCAAUAGCGAAGGCAGCUCGCUGGGACGGUACUGACGCUAAGGCGCGAAAGCGUGGGGAGCGAACAGG